UACGUAGGGAGCAAGCGUUGUUCGGAUUUACUGGGCGUAAAGGGCGCGUAGGCGGCGCGGUAAGUCACUUGUGAAAUCUCUGAGCUUAACUCAGAACGGCCAAGUGAUACUGCAGUGCUAGAGUGCAGAAAGGGCAAUCGGAAUUCCUGGUGUAGCGGUGGAAUGCGCAGAUAUCAGGAGGAACACCGGUGGCGAAGGCGGGAUCCUGGGCCAGUACUGACGCUGAGGAGCGAAAGCGUGGGGAGCAAACAGG
rnacentral:rRNA from 1 species